rnacentral:misc_RNA from 1 species
ACUCCACUCAUGGUGCAUUUUUGAGAUUAAAGAAUUGGACCUGGAGGUUAAAAGUUGAGUAAUAUUAAGGGGGUAACAAACGAGAAUAAAAAGUUAUCAGAGAUACAAUUGAGUUGGUACAAGGUACAAUUUAUUCUAUUAUUUUACUAUUAUACCAUUAAUAUAAAUAGUAAGAAACAUUUGUAAAAUAGAAAAAGAAAAGGAGAAAAAUGUUCUUAUAUACAUAUAUUCACUCUUUCCUGUGUUAACAUUAUAGACUAAAAGGCAUUAACCUUUACCCUCUUAAAAAAGAUAGCAAAACAAGUGUAAAGGGAGUUAUGACUCAACUCUCACCCCACAUUACAAUCCAAAAAAAUGCACCCUCAAGAGUUAUACGCUUGCUGGUAGCAUCCAGUAAUCCUCAUCUCUGAUAACUCAUUUUGCUAAAAUGUUGUCUCUUAACACUCCAUAAUCUACCACCAUAGCACAGCUGGCUAAAUUACAGUUUUGUAAACCUUCACUUUACCUUCAACUUAGCAAGGAAUUUACAGUCACAUAACUGCAAUUUCACUUCCCGUUUCAACCACCAUGCUAGUCUUGUAAGUGGCAUUCUCCUCACUCUACCCAUCUUUUGUCUAACAGAACCUAGGUAUUGAAAGUGAAUGCUUUAAUGCAUCUCUACUCCAUCUAGUUUAACUAUACUUCUCUUGCUUUCUCUUAACUUGAUAAAAUUGCGAUGCAUAUUUCCAUUUUAGUCAAAACAAUUAUAGGAUGCAAUUUAUAUUCUCCAUUUACCAAGCUUCACAACAAUAGUUGCGAAUUCAAACUCCUUAGAACAAUUAACAGCAUAGCUUAAUAAUGAAACAAGAAUCAACAAAAUCUACAAUCUUCCAAUCUCUGAAUGUGCAUUCGCAUUCCUAAAUUAUUUCAUGUCUCUCAAGUCCAAAUUUCAACCAUGCAUGUAAAAAGAUUUUCUAAAAAGUUACCCCCUAUAAGCUAUGCAUUCACCAUAUGAUAAGAGCACAAAUAAUGUCCUGAAACUUGCAGUAUGAAGAGUUGAAGCCAAAUUCUUCAAUCCACCCCAAACCCUCCCCCCAACCCGCCCCCCGCGCGGGGAGCAAAAACCAAACUCCCCAGUCCACCAAGCCACCAACUUGACUUCAGAAUUGAGUAUCUUAAAAGCAUAGUGGGUCCUUUAAAAUAUGCAUAAGUUCAAAUUCAAUUAGCAAUGGGCUAGUUUGGAUUGACCUUACAUUGUUAAGCUAGGUCUCUGUCUGUAAGCUCACUAACACUAUGUUUGGGAGGAAGUAUUUGGAGGCAAGGUAUGGGUUUGGGAGGAAGGAUUUUUAAAGAAGAUAAGGUUUUUGGAGGUUUCAAAAACUCCAAAACCAGCACUUUUUAAUCCACCAAAUUGGUGGUUUGGGGAGGUUUUGUUACCUCACCUUACCUUACUUCCUUCCACGUACUCCAUCCAAACAUACUAUAAAAUAUAAAUGACCAUUGAGCUUAUCUCGAGUUAGCAAUCAGAAGACCAUCACUUAAUGUGACACCAAGAGAAAUAAUAAUCUCUCUUCCAAUUUAUAUACUAAAUAAGGUUAGAGAGAUCAAUGCUGCAUAGAUCCAAAAGAAGGGGGAGUAGAAGAAUAUCAAUCUCAUAAAUCCUUUUCCAUAUCAUUCCGUGCUUUUCCAAUUUCUUUUCAAUAUUCAGCACAAUGUUUUUUUAAGCUUUGACACUAAGUAUUUUUAAGCUUCGACACUCGUACUUUUAGAUUGAAUUUUACCUUCUCUCCAGUUACUGAUUUUAUUUUUCCCUCACUUUCCAAAUCUUUUCAUCCUCUUCCUUACUUUAGUAGCAUGCAUGAAGUUGCUUUUUUGUUUUUUUUUGUUUUUAACACAUUUCAUAAAAAUAAAAGAAUUGAAUUCAUCACUUGACAAACCAAACAACAUUGAUAAAAAGAUUUAACUGCUAGGAGUAUAUGAAUAAUCAAGUUUUAUAACCACAUAUCAGUGGCAUUGUCUGACAGCACAUCUAUUGUUCUAAUCAAUGACAGUAGCAAUAUUUACAACGUUGAUAAAGAAUAGCCCACAUAUGAUAUAUCAAACAUUAAGAAAGUCAUAAUCAAAUAAAUCAACAUCAUGUACACAAAAAGGCAAUCAUGUGGAUAAACACAGGGCAAACAACCAACAUGGAAAGGAUUAUUAUCAUCAUUUUCUCUUCAAACAGCAAAUGCGAAUGUAAAACAGGUGUCAAUGCAUAAAACACAUGACAAUUCAAUUUCAUAUAUAUAUAUGAGAGAGAGAGAGAG